rnacentral:rRNA from 1 species
CGCCUUUUGAUAAAAUAUAAAAGGUCCAGCCUGCCCAGUGACAAAGUUAAACGGCCGCGGUACCCUAACCGUGCAAAGGUAGCGCAAUCACUUGUUCUUUAAAUAAGGACUAGUAUGAACGGCACCACGAGGAUUAUACUGUCUCCCCCCUUUAAUCAGUGAAACUGAUCCCCCCGUGAAGAAGCGGGGAUAAACUUAUAAGACGAGAAGACCCUGCGGAGCUUUAAACCUACACUACCAAUCUCAAUAUACACCAUAACAAAUAAAUAGGCUUACGUACUAGUUUUAGGUUGGGGCGACCGCGGAGUAAAACUAAACCUCCGCGAUGAAAAGACUUUACUGUCUAAUCUAAGAGCAACACCUCUAAGAAUCAACAAACUGACAUAAUUGACCCAAACACUUGAUCAACGAACCAAGUUACCCCAGGGAUAACAGCGCAAUCCAUUUCAAGAGCCCCUAUCGACAAAUGGGUUUACGACCUCGAUGUUGGAUCAGGGUAUCCCAGUGGUGCAGCCGCUACUAAAGGUUCGUUUGUUCAACGAUUAAAACCCU